rnacentral:rRNA from 1 species
AGGCGACGAUCCGUAACUGUCUGAGAGGAUGAUCAGUCACACUGGAACUGAGACACGGUCCAGACUCCUACGGGAGGCAGCAGUGGGGAAUAUUGGACAAUGGGCGAAAGCCUGAUCCAGCCAUGCCGCGUGUGUGAAGAAGGUCUUCGGAUUGUAAAGCACUUUAAGUUGGGAGGAAGGGUUGCUGAUUAAUACUCUGCAAUUUUGACGUUACCGACAGAAUAAGCACCGGCUAACUCUGUGCCAGCAGCCGCGGUAAUACAGAGGGUGCAAGCGUUAAUCGGAAUUACUGGGCGUAAAGCGCGCGUAGGUGGUUUGUUAAGUUGGAUGUGAAAGCCCCGGGCUCAACCUGGGAACUGCAUCCAAAACUGGCAAGCUAGAGUAGGGCAGAGGGUGGUGGAAUUUCCUGUGUAGCGGUGAAAUGCGUAGAUAUAGGAAGGAACACCAGUGGCGAAGGCGACCACCUGGGCUCAUACUGAC